GUCGACAAUACUUCAGAGAAUCAUUUCUAUAGUAUUCGACCUUCUCUUGGUUCCCUAAAAGAGCCACAGAUCCCACCCUGGUUGAUGAAUGAAUAUCCUCGAUGCCCUAGAGUGAAUACCCCUUUUCUGGUCCUCUCGAUCUGUCCGCAAGGAUGGCGGUGGUCUGCUCUUUUGAGUGGCUGCUGUAUAGAGAGAUGUUACUCUUGAUGAUCUCGGCCCUUGGGACGGUCUGCCUUCGGGCGCGUUCUUGGGGCGGGCAUUGAUGGACGUCUGACAGGC
rfam:Fusarium verticillioides 7600 chromosome 4, whole genome shotgun sequence.